AUUGAACGCUGGCGGCAGGCCUAACACAUGCAAGUCGAACGAGUGGCGGACGGGUGAGUAAUGUCUGGGAAACUGCCUGAUGGAGGGGGAUAACUACUGGAAACGGUAGCUAAUACCGCAUACCAUCAGAUGUGCCCAGAGGGGAUUAGCUUGUUGGUGGGGUAACGGCUCACCAAGGCGACGAUCCCUAGCGGGUCUGAGAGGAUGACAAGCCACAUUGGAACUGGGACACGGUCCAGACUCCUACGGUAGGCAGCAGUGUGGAAUAUGGGACAAUGGGGGGAAGCCUGAUGCAGCCAGGCCGCGUGUAUGAAGAAGGCCUUCGGGGUGUAAAGUACUUUCAGCGGGGAGGCGUUACCCGUAGAAGAAGCACCGGCUAACUCCGUGCCAGCAGCCGCGGUAAUUC
rnacentral:rRNA from 1 species